rnacentral:rRNA from 1 species
CCUACGGGAGGCAGCAGUGGGGAAUUUUCCGCAAUGGGCGAAAGCCUGACGGAGCAACGCCGCGUGAUCGAAUGAAGGCCUUCGGGUUGUAAAGAUCUGUUGACAGGGACGAAUAAGCAAUGCGAAUAGUUUUGUGUAUGACGGUACCUGUUUAGAAAGCUCCGGCUAACUACGUGCCAGCAGCCGCGGUAAUACGUAGGGAGCAAGCGUUGUCCGGAAUUACUGGGCGUAAGGGGCGCGUAGGUGGGCGCUUAAGUCAGGUGUGAAAACUCCGGGCUCAACCUGGAGACUGCACUUGAAACUGGGUGUCUUGAGGGCAGGAGGGGCAAGCGGAAUUCCUAGUGUAGCGGUGAAAUGCGUAGAUAUUAGGAGGAACACCGGUGGCGAAGGCGGCUUGCUGGACGGUAACUGACGUUGAGGCUCGAAAGCGUGGGGAGCAAACAGGAUUAGAUACCCGGGUAGUC